GCUGAGAGAGCGGGGGGGGGUUAACUCAGUGGCCGGACAUCGCUGCUGUUUACUGCGGGGUUCACAGCAACGGAGCUCCGCGAGAAAAGCUCUGGAGAGGAGAGGAGGGUACGGGAGGAAGGAGCUGCAGCACCUGAUUGACGAGGACUGGAACCUUCUUUGGGAGAGAGGCUGCUCUGAUAUUUUUUGUCCCACGUAUUUGGCAGAGUGUGAGCUCCAGAUUGCAGCACAGCUCGUGGGCCUGGCUGGGAGGCUGAGGUACCUGUGAAGAUUGAGACUCAUGUUGUACAGGGCCAACCAGGACUCUUGGAGGCGCUUUAUAUCUCGCCGAAUGUGGACCUGUCCCUCUUCUGAAGUCUUCUCCAAAACCCCUUGACCCUGGACCUCC